GGGUGCAAUCAUACUAGCAUCAAUGCACUAGAUCAUCACACUGGAGCUUCAUAAUUAAGCAUGCUUGCACUAAAGUAGCACCAAGAUGGGUUACCUCUCGAGAAGUAUUUAGUGCUACACCCC
rnacentral:rRNA from 1 species